GCGGCCGUAACUAUAACGGUCCUAAGGUAGCGAAAUUCCUUGUCGGUUAAAUACCGACCUGCAUGAAUGGCGUAACGAGAUGGGAGCUGUCUCAACCAGAGAUUCAGUGAAAUUGUAGUGGAGGUGAAAAUUCCUCCUACCCGCGGCAAGACGGAAAGACCCCGUGGACCUUUACUACAACUUAGCACUGCUAAUGGGAAUAUCAUGCGCAGGAUAGGUGGGAGGCUUUGAAGUAAGGGCUU
rnacentral:rRNA from 1 species